UGCCCAGCAACUCCUAUCCCUACCUCCUCGUGCUACUGGCUGGGGUACGAGUAACCUUAGGGAAGAUCUGGUAAUCAACCCCGGUGGGAACUUUGGUCGUAUGCUGAUGGGGAAGG
rnacentral:ribozyme from 1 species